UUUAUGGGCUGUUCGUCAGCUCGUGUCGUGAGAUGUUGGGUUAAGUCCCGCAACGAGCGCAACCCUUAUCUUUAGUUGCCAGCACUUCGGGUGGGAACUCUAAAGAGACUGCCGGUGACAAACCGGAGGAAGGUGGGGAUGACGUCAAGUCAUCAUGGCCCUUAUGGCCAGGGCUACACACGUGCUACAAUGGUCGGUACAGAGGGUAGCCAAACCGCGAGGUGGAGCCAAUCCCCCAAAGCCGAUCUUAGUCCGGAUUGCAGUCUGCAACUCGACUGCAUGAAGUCGGAAUCGCUAGUAAUCGUGGAUCAGCAUUGCCACGGGAUAUGCUU
rnacentral:rRNA from 1 species